UCAACUCAGGGCGAUGCCUAUUGCUCCUCGGGCCCAGCUGCAGCGGGACGGGUUUCAGCACAGGCGGCUCAUUCUCCCUCCAGAGCUGCUGCUGCAGGGGUGUGGGGUGAUCCAGGCACACUUUGUUACCCCUCUCUAGGCUCCUUGACACCAGGGGAAGUUUAUCUGCUUAUGUGUAAAAGAGAGCUACAGCCAACCCUGAAAUGAGAUGCCUGAGCCCCAGGUGAGAAAACUGAAGGGUUCUUACUCCCAGAAGAUCAAAUCAAUUCCUACAAGGCUGUAAUUAGAAAGAGGCCUGGCUAAGAUUCAAAUCCAGGAAAGCCGAUUCCAGAGCCUGGGUUUUUCCACUGGGCCAGAGGCAUUGGUCGACUGUCCUGUCAGGUGGAGUAUAUUGACAGACUCCAUCCGACAUGUGACUUGCUUUUUAGCUAAUGGGAUGUGAGCAGACAUGAUCAAGACCACAGUACAGCAGAAGCUUUAAAUACAAUUGUGUUUUUUGGCUCAGCCACUUGGACUCCUGCCCUCUGCAGUGGGAAGAACAGGCAAGUGUGAAAUGAUGAAAUUCUCUCCAUUCUCCAUUGUGUAAUGGAAAACGCACUGUUCUAGGAGUCAGAAGACCAUUUAAUUCCUUUCCUCAGUAACUAGGAAAAAUGCCUGGAACAUCUAAGGAUUAAGAAGAACUUCGCAUCAGCAGAAAGCCAGGCUGAAAACCCCAAGGAGUUGAAGAGCUUAGUUCCGGAGCCAGAUUGUAUAAGACAGGGCUUAAAAAAUAAUCUGGAGCCAUCCUAUGCAAAACAAAUUGUCCGCCAAGAGGCAGACUCAAAGGGUUGCAGAGUAUGAAGGAAUGAAAUGGAUUCCAGACUACCAUGGGGCUUUUAUUGAGGGAAACAAGACCAAUUUAUAGAAUCAUGCACUCUGUGAAUCUACAAUUUCCCCUUUUAUCUGCAAAAAUCUGAAGGAAAGCAUAUAGAAGAAUUUGGCAUAGCUGGACUACAUAGAGGAAAAAUACUCGUCUGUGCAAAAGGAUACAUGAAGGAAAGCCAUGCUUGCACUCUGCAGUUCAAGUUACAGAGAAAUUUGACUCAAACUAUCUUUAGCAAAAGGGAAUAAUACUGGAGUUGUUUGUGCAA